ensembl:lncRNA
CUUCGAAUCUGGAAAAACACUGCCUUUUGCCUAAGCUGCAAGUCACAUAUGCAAGAGAAUUGAUUCAAGUAGGCCUUGAAUCUUUAAGUCUCUCUCUUAAUGAAGUUAUGCUGAAAAGAGUUAUAAUAUUAAGACUUCGAUAAUGCACAACAUAAACCAAACAAUACUCUAAAUGAGCUCAUGCAUUCAUUAGAAAUAUCUAAAUAGUAUUCAGUAAAGAUGACUCAUCUCACUAGUGUCUAAAUAGUGGGUGAAAAAAAAUUUAAUAGUUUUUUCCAGGUUAAUAGAUAAAACUCAGAAAACUUCCAAAUAUAUUUGGGGAAGUCUGGUGUCCCAAAUGCAUUUCACAGCAAAAUAUGUGUUGGGUCUUUCUCAGUUCCACAGCUAUAUCGCACAGCAGGGAUGGAAGGACAGCAUGACAAUAGCUUUUACUUUCCAAAUGGAUGUUUAAGUAAUCUGAAGAAGACACUUUCUGCUGGGCUCCAUUCAACCUGUAGUCUAUUGCAGUGUACAAGUAAACAUCAAAACCCCUCGUUUCACAACUGUCAUUUUUGGCUUUCAUUACCAAUGGACCAAAUUAGUUUAAGGCAAGAUGAUAGGCAGAUGAGCAGAGCAGCAUACCAAAGGCACCGAAACCCACCAAAGCCAAUGUAGGAAAAAAAAGGAAAAGAAAACCACCCAGGGAAAAGGUCUUUGGGCAUCAUCCCAACUCAUUACAGCUAGAAAAGAAGAGGGGCUGCUUUUAAGGGUCUCAGCUUGGGCAAGACAGUCACAAAGGCUGUUGUUACCUCUGGCACUGCAGCAGAAUCAAUCUAACAGGAAGUGGAGACAGUCCAGCAACGUCAUGGCAACCGCAGGCUGCUGCAGGAGGGAGGGAGAAGAGCCGGCAGGCAGGACUGAUGGUGAUUGGGAGGGCGCACUCCGGUGAAGGCAGCUUUGGGGACCUAUCUCUGAUACCAGUCCCCAGGGAAGGUCACUUUUCCCUGGGAGUAACUUCCAUUAGGGAAGAGAGCAAAGCAAAUCAUAAAUGGAGCCACAGGUGCAGAGAACCCAGGGUGACCCUGAGAUAUAAGAGAUGGAGAAUCAAGUGCUGCUGCUGUGAGACAGUAACGCAAUACAGGACAAUGAUUCAGGAACAUUCUACUGGAGUGCUCACCCAUCCAAAGUAUUAACAACCUGAUUCAAAAACGGCUAUUGGAGGUUUUUUUUUUUCCUUAAGACCUACCUUCCUCUCACUAAGCUUAUGGUGAUGACAAUGAUAUGAAAAUACCACUGAAUGUAAUCAAAUAAAAUAGUUAGAUGACACCAUGAAAGAGAGUUUAACUCAAGAAGGUCAAAAGGGCAAAAACAAAUAUGAAUCAUAGAGAGAUGAUAUAGGAAACCUUUUCUUAAUUCACUGCAAUGUCACUUCAUGAUCAAUAAGUUUUCCUUAUGUCAAAUUAAAGUCUCUUUUGCCUUAAUUUUAGUCCUUUUCUAUCCCACCCAUUCAAAUUCCAAGGGAUAACUGCUGAUAUCUAUAUCUUGCAUCUCUUCAUUAUUUCCCCCAUCUGUAUAAUAAGGCUGAUGAUCUUUAAGUAUUGAAAGAUGUUAUAUAUGCUGCAUCAGCAACAAACCUACAGCAGAAUACAUAUCCUUACAUAAAACAGAAGCUGCUAGUUGUCCCUCGACAUCCAUUUUUCCAAUGUCUCUCAAAGUAACAGAACUCGCAACUUUUAACUGGGCACAAGGCCAUCUGAAAUAAAGACCACUUAGCCCAUCUUCCUGUGCAGCUAGAUAUAGCCAUAUUACUAAAUUCUGGCCAAAGGAAUAGGAGCAGAAGUUAUGGAAACAACUUCCAAAUUGUGUCCUUGAAGCACAAGUUUUGCCCUUUUGCUCUCU